UACGGAGGGGGCUAGCGUUGUUCGGAAUUACUGGGCGUAAAGCGCGCGUAGGCGGACCUGCAAGUCGGGGGUGAAAGCCCGAGUCUCAACCUCGGAACUGCCUUCGAUACUGCGGGUCUCGAGUCCGGGAGAGGUGAGUGGAAUUCCUAGUGUAGAGGCUAAAUUCGUAGAUAUUAGGAAGAACACCAGUGGCGAAGGCGGCUCACUGGCCCGGUACUGACGCUGAGGCGCGAAAGCGUGGGGAGCACACAGG
rnacentral:rRNA from 1 species